rnacentral:rRNA from 1 species
AUUGAACGCUGGCGGAAUGCUUUACACAUGCAAGUCGAACGAUGAACCUUAGCUUGCUAAGGGGAUUAGUGGCGAACGGGUGAGUAAUAUAUCGGAACGUGCCUUGUAAUGGGGGAUAACUAGUCGAAAGAUUAGCUAAUACCGCAUACGCCCUGAGGGGGAAAGUAGGGGAUCUUCGGGCCUUACGUUAUAAGAGCGGCCGAUAUCUGAUUAGCUAGUUGGUGGGGUAAUGGCCUACCAAGGCGACGAUCAGUAGCUGGUCUGAGAGGACGACCAGCCACACUGGAACUGAGACACGGUCCAGACUCCUACGGGAGGCAGCAGUGGGGAAUUUUGGACAAUGGGCGCAAGCCUGAUCCAGCCAUUCCGCGUGAGUGAAGAAGGCCUUCGGGUUGUAAAGCUCUUUCGCAAGGGAAGAAAACUUACCAUCGAAUAAAUGGUGAGGCUGACGGUACCUUGAUAAGAAGCACCGGCUAACUACGUG